AGCGGCAGACGGGUGAGUAACGCGUGGGAACGUACCUUUUGGUUCGGAACAACACAGGGAAACUUGUGCUAAUACCGGAUAAGCCCUUACGGGGAAAGAUUUAUCGCCGAAAGAUCGGCCCGCGUCUGAUUAGCUAGUUGGUGAGGUAAUGGCUCACCAAGGCGACGAUCAGUAGCUGGUCUGAGAGGAUGAUCAGCCACAUUGGGACUGAGACACGGCCCAAACUCCUACGGGAGGCAGCAGUGGGGAAUAUUGGACAAUGGGCGC
rnacentral:rRNA from 1 species